UGGAAGUUCGCGAAAACUGUACAGCAGCGCCUUGUUGCUUGUUUUUUCUUGUGCAAAUUCUAUUUCCCGAUGUGCAAAAACCAGUGAAACUCGCCACCGUUGCUGCCUUAAAUAGCAAGAUUUAUUGGAUUACCUGCGAAUGGGACUGCAAAUUGGAAUAAUUUAACCGGAUCCGGAGCAACCGAACCCACCUUCGCUAACGGCUUUACGUGCAACAAAAUAGGCUGUACUGGUCAUACCUUCCGGAAUCGUAGCAGUAUCUGAAGUGUGAAGUCGUGAAGCUGCUGGGUUUAACCCAUCAGCAAAGAUAUCGUCGGCGGCCCAGAGUCCAAGAACCAGAACUGAUUGUGAACUUUUGCAUACAGUCAAACCUGCGAGAGUCGAUAUUUAAAUGGUUCAAGUAUGGA